CCUACGGGAGGCAGCAGUAGGGAAUCUUCCACAAUGGGCGAAAGCCUGAUGGAGCAACGCCGCGUGGGUGAAGAAGGUCUUCGGAUCGUAAAACCCUGUUGUUAGAGAAGAAAGUGCGUGAGAGUAACUGUUCACGUUUCGACGGUAUCUAACCAGAAUGCCACGGCUAACUACGUGCCAGCAGCCGCGGGAAUACGUAGGUGGCAAGCGUUAUCCGGAUUGAUUGGGCGUAAAGGGAACGCAGGCGGUCUUUUAAGUCUGAUGUGAAAGCCUUCGGCUUAACCGGAGUAGUGCAUUGGAAACUGGGAGACUUGAGUGCAGAAGAGGAGAGUGGAACUCCAGGUGUAGCGGUGAAAUGCGUAGAUAUAUGGAAGAACACCAGUGGCGAAAGCGGCUCUCUGGUCUGUAACUGACGCUGAGGUUCGAAAGCGUGGGUAGCAAACAGGAUUAGAUACCCUAGUAGUC
rnacentral:rRNA from 1 species